GAUUUUAAAAAUUUCUGGCAUUCAAUCUUGCCCUUCUUGGGCUGAAAAUCAGUCCAGCAGUGCUAAAGAGACGUUCGCAUGCAGCAGAAGCUGGUAAGGCAGUGUUGAUUUUAAGAGACAAUUUGCAAACCGCAGGAUAAGAUUGCAGUAUCUCUUUGUUGUCUACUUUAGAGGCAAGGUACCCUUCUAGCUGUUUAACACUUUCCUGCCCAUGAGUUGUCUUCAUGCUUGAAAAGAACAACAAUAUAUCUCAAUUUCAUAAAUGAAGUGCACAUUUCAUGUUUUUUUGCAUGUACCAAGUAGGCUGCU